GAUGAACGCUGGCGGCGUGCCUAAUACAUGCAAGUCGAGCGAACAGACGAGGAGCUUGCUCCUCUGACGUUAGCGGCGGACGGGUGAGUAACACGUGGAUAACCUACCUAUAAGACUGGGAUAACUUCGGGAAACCGGAGCUAAUACCGGAUAAUAUAUUGAACCGCAUGGUUCAAUAGUGAAAGACGGUUUUGCUGUCACUUAUAGAUGGAUCCGCGCCGCAUUAGCUAGUUGGUAAGGUAACGGCUUACCAAGGCGACGAUGCGUAGCCGACCUGAGAGGGUGAUCAGCCACACUGGAACUGAGACACGGUCCAGACUCCUACGGGAGGCAGCAGUAGGGAAUCUUCCGCAAUGGGCGAAAGCCUGACGGAGCAACGCCGCGUGAGUGAUGAAGGUCUUCGGAUCGUAAAACUCUGUUAUUAGGGAAGAACAAAUGUGUAAGUAACUUUGCACGUCUUGACGGUACCUAAUCAGAAAGCCACGGCUAACUACGUG
rnacentral:rRNA from 1 species